UUUCCGUAGGUGAACCUGCGGAAGGAUCAUUAUUGAAUAACCGAGGUGCGAGGGCUGUCGCUGACCCGAACGGUCGUGCACGCCCCAGUGUCACACCACACAUCCAUCUCACGCCUAUGUGCACCACCGCGCGGGUCAUCCUCUGGCCUGUUCGGACGGGGGCUUACGUUUACACACAAACUCUGUAUGCAGCGUAGUAUGAAUUUUUAGUUCUUACGAUUUCGCUAUCAAUACAACUUUCAACACCGGAUCUCUUGGCUGUCGCAUCGUGGAAGAACG
rnacentral:misc_RNA from 1 species